rnacentral:lncRNA from 1 species
AUGAUCAAGUCAAGACAAAAAUUAAGGUGAGAGCAUUAUGCAUAAUGGACUUUAUAAUCCACUUUUCUUUUGUCCCUUUUCCUUUUCUUCUUUAAAUUUGUUGGUAGGUUGGUUGGUUGUCUUAUAGCUUUAAGAGGCCAAUCUGUGUUAAGCUUGGGAUUUAAGCUUGGCAUCAAGACUAGCUAGCUGCACAUAUGCAUGCCAUCAUUGCAUUGCAUUGCAUGAUAUAUAUAGAAGAAGGUUCUCCACCUGCUAUGAGCCAUCCCUUUACCCUAGUGGCAAGCAAAAGACAUAUCCUUUACUUGUGAGCUGCAAUCAACACAAGGUCAAGAUCCUUGCAUGAAAGCAACACCCUCCUCAAAAACUAAUUAAUCACUUCACCAAUUAUUAGGGUUAGUUUGGGAGUGAUUCUGGAGAGGCUAAUAAUCAUCUUUCACUUCUUCAAAUAAUCUCUUUAAGUGAUUUUAUGGAUAAGCAUAUGGGAGGUGCUUCUCCCCAAAAUCACUUAUUAAAAUCACUAAAAGUGAUUAUGUGGAGAAGCAUGUGGGAGACACUUCUCCCCAUAAGUGAUUUUGACCUAUGUAAAAUCACUUUGAAACGAGCCCUAAGUCUCUUUAAAGCUACUUCAACAAAAGAAAUAAAAAUGUUAAAUAAUUUGAACAUAUAUACAUGUAUUUAAUUUGUUUAUGCAUAUGGCAUGGGACCAAGUUCAAAAUUAAUUUGAAUGUUAAAAAAGCAACUGUACAAUUGGCAGUAGAGCGUAGCUUGUUCCCUAAUCUAAUUUAAGUACCUAAAGUUGCUAUUUCGGUUGACUUCAUCACAAUUCACAAAUGUAUGCUUGAGGAGGAGAAAAAAUAAAAAAUAUCUUGACAAUUUCCUUUUCCUUUGGAUCUUUUUUCGUUAACAUUAUAUAUAUAUAUAUAUAUGUAUACAUACAUAUAUAAAUCUAUACAUGCAGUUGGCUAUGUGUGAACUGAAAAGCAAGGUUUGCAGUACUCGUGUAGAAAGUGGACUCCAAGUCAUGUGACAUGAAGAAAGAAUCUUGGGUUUCAUUUCAUCCUUACGUGUAUAAGGACCCCAUUAUAUAUAUAAUGCAUGGCCAUAUCAAAUCUCUCAGCCCAUCUCUCUCUCUCUCUCUCUCUCUCUCUCUCUCUCAAGAACAAAACAGUUGAGGGGAAUGUUGUCUGGUUCGAGAUCCUUCACAACUGUGGAGCUUAAGCAUAGUCUGAAUGAUUUCGGACCAGGCUUCAUUCCCCUCAACUAAGAGAAAUAAUUCACUACUUUAUAUACAUAUCAUGCAUUAAUUAAAAUGCAAUGAAUAAGAGCCUCUUGCCUUACUUAUGAUAGUAUUUAUGCAGAAGCUGCAGAUUUUCAAUUGAGGAAAGCAGAGCAGCUAGCCUACCUGUAGCCGAAAUUGGCAACCAGAGCAAGCGUCAUCAGUUGAGUCUAAUUUCUCUCUCUUCCAUGCCUAAAAUAUGUUGACUAAGAUAUGCAGUGCCAUUGUGAACAUAUGACUGCAAAUUAAGUUUUUUCUUCUGUCCUUUUGGUUUUGUUUAUUUGCUAGUGUCCCUUUUUUUUUUUUUUUUUUUCUUUUUUGUUAAAUUUUCUGGGAAAAGUAGGGGAAAGGAUAUAGAGACAGAGAGUCUCUCUAUUCCGUGAUUUGGGUUAGCAUGUUUCUUAAGAUUUUAGUACAUGCAUAUCUUUCUUCCAUGCCAAACCACCAUAUCUACAAGAUGAGUCAACCCUAAAUGGGGAACCAAAAAACUGAUAUUUCCAUGUGGCUCAGAUUUACAUGUGAGGUUCAUGAUUUCAGGUGGGACAGACCUCCUGGAUAUUGA